rnacentral:rRNA from 1 species
UACGAGGGGGGCGAGCGUUGUUCGGAAUUAUUGGGCGUAAAGGGCGCGUAGGCGGUCGGAUAAGUCUUGUGUGAAAUCUUCGGGCUCAACUCGAAGUCUGCACAGGAAACUAUCUGGCUUGAGUGUGGGAGAGGUGAGUGGAAUUCCUGGUGUAGCGGUGAAAUGCGUAGAUAUCAGGAGGAACACCAGUGGCGAAGGCGAGUCUCUGGACAUUUCCUGACGCUGAGGCACGAAAGCCAGGGGAGCAAACGGG